rnacentral:rRNA from 1 species
AGUGAACGCUGGCGGUAGGCCUAACACAUGCAAGUCGAACGGCAGCACAGUAAGAGUUUGCUAUUACGGGUGGCGAGUGGCGGACGGGUGAGGAAUACAUCGGAAUCUACUUUUUCGGGGGGGAUAACGUAGGGAAACUUACGCUAAUACCGCAUACGACCUACGGGUGAAAGCAGGGGAUAUUCGGACCUUGCGCGAUUGAUUGAGCCGAUGUCGGAUUAGCUAGUUGGCGGGGUAAAGGCUCACCAAGGCGACGAUCCGUAGCUGGUCUGAGAGGAUGAUCAGCCACACUGGAACUGAGACACGGUCCAGACUCCUACGGGAGGCAGCAGUAGGGAAUCUUGGACAAUGGGCGCAAGCCUGACCCAGCCACACCGCGUGAGUGAUGAAGGCCUUCGGGUUGUAAAGCCCUUUUGUUAGGAAAGAAAAGCAGCAUGAUUAUCCCCCGCUGUUCUGACGGUACCCAAAGAAAAAGCCCCGGCUAACUUCGUG